rnacentral:tRNA from 1 species
GGGCCCGUGGCGUAGCUUGGACGCGAAUAUGCCAAAAAGCGCGUCGGCCUUCUAAGCCGGAGAUCCCGGGUUCAAGUCCCGGCGGGCCCG